rnacentral:sRNA from 1 species
GGGGUGUUUCACCUGUUUUUUUUCUAGGAGCACCCCUGGCCUGCUUCCCGUCUGCCUGCUCGGAUGCUGCUGCUGGCUUCCUGCUGUUUUGAGGCCUCUGGUGCUGGAAGAACAGGAAGAAGCCAGCUCCCCACACCUGUGUCCUCUUCCUUCCCCAGGAGAUGUGGGUUCCUUUGUGCUGAAGUUAGUGGAGGGCCUUCAGGGCCAGACAUGGGCCCCAGACUGGGUGGAGGAGCUGCGGGAAGCCGACCGGCAGAAGGAGCAGACCUUUCGGGAGAAGGCAGCGAUGCCUGUGGCUCAGCACCUGAACCCGGUGCGGGUGCUGCAGCUGGUGGAGGAAACGCUACCUGACAACUCAAUUCUGGUGGUGGAUGGCGGGGACUUCGUGGGCACUGCCGCCCAUCUGGUACAGCCCCGCGGCCCCCUGCGCUGGCUCGAUCCUGGUAAGGAAGGGCCCCCGCCUGGGGCAGUGGGCACCAUCCAUCCGGACGCCUUCACACCCACCUGCUCUUGGUCCUCUUAGGGGCCUUUGGGACUCUGGGAGUUGGUGCAGGAUUUGCACUUGGGGCCAAGCUGUGCCGGCCAGAUGCUGAGGUGAGGCACUGGAGUUGGGAGACUUGCUGCUCUCUAGGCCCUGAUCCACCCUAACCAUCCUGGGUCCCCUCCCCACUAGGUCUGGUGCCUGUUUGGGGAUGGAGCUUUUGGCUACAGCCUCAUCGAAUUUGAUACGUUCGU